rnacentral:misc_RNA from 1 species
ACAAACUUGGUCAUUUAGAGGAAGUAAAAGUCGUAACAAGGUUUCCGUAGGUGAACCUGCGGAAGGAUCAUUAUUGAAAAAAAUGUGACUUGAUGGGUUGUUGCUGGCUCCUCGGAGCAUGUGCACGCCUGUCUUGACUUCAUUUUCAUCCACCUGUGCACCUAUUGCUAGUCUCUUGGCUUUGAGUUUGUGACAGAAGUGGUCAGCCUUCUCAGCAUCUGCUGGAUGUGAGGACUUGCGAGUGCGAAAGUGCUGCUGCCCUCUACUUGGCCACCAAUGUUGCUCAACUUGCGCCGGGAGUCUAUGUUAUUCAUUAUACCCUAUUGAAUGUCUCAGAAUGUCUUUUCCAUGGGCUUUGAUGCCUAUGAAAAUCAUAAUACAACUUUCAGCAACGGAUCUCUUGGCUCUCGCAUCGAUGAAGAACGCAGC